rnacentral:rRNA from 1 species
UCGAGAAUCUUCCGCAAUGGACGCAAGUCUGACGGAGCGACGCCGCGUGUAGGACGAAGGCCCUUGGGUUGUAAACUACUGUCACGAGUUAUGAAUGGGUACGGGUUAAUAGCCCGUGCAUUGACGUAAGCUCGAGAGGAAGCACCGGCUAACUCUGUGCCAGCAGCCGCGGUAACACAGAGGGUGCAAACGUUGUUCGGAAUCACUGGGCAUAAAGCGCACGUAGGCGGCUUGGUAAGUGUGAAGUGAAAGCCCACGGCUCACCCGUGGAACUGCUUUGCAUACUGCCAGGCUCGAGGACGGUAGGGGAGAGCAGAACUCCUGGAGGAGCGGUGAAAUGCGUAGAUAUCAGGAGGAAUACCAGUGGCGAAGGCGGCUCUCUGGUCCGUUUCUGACGCUGAGGUGCGAAAGCUAGGGUAGCGAACGGGAUUAGAUACCCCCGUAGUCC